AUAGAUACCCAGGUAGUCCACGCCGUAAACGAUGAGUGCUAAGUGUUAGGGGGGUUUCCGCCCCUUAGUGCUGCAGCUAACGCAUUAAGCACUCCGCCUGGGGAGUACGGUCGCAAGACUGAAACUCAAAGGAAUUGACGGGGGCCCGCACAAGCGGUGGAGCAUGUGGUUUAAUUCGAAGCAACGCGAAGAACCUUACCAGGUCUUGACAUCCCGCUGACCGCUAUGGAGACAUAGCCUUCCCUUCGGGGACAGCGGUGACAGGUGGUGCAUGGUUGUCGUCAGCUCGUGUCGUGAGAUGUUGGGUUAAGUCCCGCAACGAGCGCAACCCUUGAGAUUAGUUGCCAUCAUUCAGUUGGGCACUCUAAUCUGACUGCCGGUGAUAAACCGGAGGAAGGUGGGGAUGACGUCAAAUCAUCAUGCCCCUUAUGAUCUGGGCUACACACGUGCUACAAUGGACGGUACGAAACGGUUGCCAACCCGCGAGGGGGAGCCAAUCCGAUAAAACCGUUCUCAGUUCGGAUUGUAGGCUGCUAACC
rnacentral:rRNA from 1 species